UCUUGGUCAUUUAGAGGAAGUAAAAGUCGUAACAAGGUCUCCGUAGGUGAACCUGCGGAGGGAUCAUUACAGAGUUCAUGCCCUUCGGGGUAGACCUCCCACCCAGUGUAUGUAUACCUUUGUUGCUUUGGCAGGCCGCUAGGCCUCGGUCUAGCUCCUGGCUCCGGCUAGGGAGUGCCUGCCAGAGGACCCUAAAACCUGAAUGUUAGUGUCGUCCGAGUAACUAUACAAUCGUUAAAACUUUCAACAACGGAUCUCUUGGUUCUGGCAUCGAUGAAGAACGCAGCGAAAUGCGAUAAGUAAUGCGAAUUGCAGAAUUCAGUGAGUCAUCGAAUCUUUGAACGCACCUUGCGCCCCUUGGCAUUCCGAGGGGCACACCCGUUUGAGUGUCGUGAAAUUCUCAAAACCCUUUUCUUUGGAAAGGAUUUUGGACUUGGAGGCCUUUUGCUGGUUUCACCUCGAAGCGAGCUCCUCCUAAAUGAAUCAGUGGGGUUUGCUUUGCGAAUCCUUGACGUGAUAAGUUGUUUCUACGUCUUGGAUUUUUUUGCACUGUACACCUGCUUCUAACUGUCUCAUUGACAAUGAUGGCGCUCCGGUCACCGCCGACUCAUCGGUUGGGAGGCUUGACCCACAAAACGAACCUUGACCUCAAAUCGGGUGAGACUACCCGCUGAACUUAAGCAUAUCAAUAAGCGGAGGA
rnacentral:rRNA from 1 species